rnacentral:rRNA from 1 species
UGACCAGACUCCUACGGGAGGCAGCAGUGGGGAAUAUUGCACAAUGGGGGAAACCCUGAUGCAGCAACGCCGCGUGAGUGAAGAAGUAUUUCGGUAUGUAAAUCUCUAUCAGCAGGGAAGAAGAAAUGACGGUACCUGAAUAAGAAGCACCGGCUAAAUACGUGCCAGCAGCCGCGGUAAUACGUAUGGUGCAAGCGUUAUCCGGAUUUACUGGGCGUAAAGGGAGCGCAGGCGGCGCGCCAAGUCUGAUGUGAAACCCCGGGGCUCAACCCCGGGCAUGCAUUGGAAACUGGCGGGCUGGAGUGCCGGAGAGGUAGGCGGAAUUCCUAGUGUAGCGGUGAAAUGCGUAGAUAUUAGGAGGAACACCAGUGGCGAAGGCGGCCUACUGGACGGUGACUGACGCUGAGGCUCGAAAGCGUGGGGAGCAAACAGGAUUAGAUACCCGCGUA